UUUUUUUUUCCAGUUAUUUAAGCCGUUGAUUUCUGUGCAGAGGUGCUCAUCUGGUGGGCCACAAUACGUGGGAAAUUUUGAGAGGAGACGCUCACCGUUGAUUUAUGUGGGGCCCAAAAUGUUGUAUAUAGAGAAUCCAGACCUUCCAGACCCUUCAUCUGCCCUGGAUGAAAGGUCAGGGAAAUAAUCAAGCUCUUCUACAACUUGGUUGCACCCCAGUUAGAAUCAAUGAUGAGUGUCCCCUUCAAUAUUUUUCCCUAUUCUGUGGCCCACCAGAGUUUUGAGUCGAACUAAUUUUCAUGACUUAGAUAGAAUCUGAGGGGAUACAUCCAAUGUACGGUUUGGAUGUGAUGCAUACACUACAUUAGCCCUACAUCUUCCCAGGUACUACCAUAAGCUUACGAUAGUAUCGGUACCACUGAAGCGUACCUUUCACAUAAAAUGAUAUUCUUCUCAUGAACAAAAGACAUGGCCCACACCUAUACAUGCACCCCCCUAUGUAGUACUUUUAAGCUAUUACAGCGCAUUCAAGACUGGAAAUAUUCUAUCAUCAUCUGAAUAAAGUUGUAUAUAAAAAAAACAAGAAAAAGAAAA